rnacentral:ncRNA from 2 species
CAAGGAUUCGGCGCCGACGGUGUCCCGCUCUCGGGCGGGACGAGAAGGGAAUUUCGGGCGCGUCGGGCCCGGUCGCACGACCGGACCCGCGUGAAGCCGAAGCUGCCCCCGCAACUGUGAGCGGCGAGCCUGCGCCGAAGCCACUGGGUCUUGCGACCUGGGAAGGCGGCGUAGGCCUUGACCCGCGAGCCAGGAGACCUGCCGUCGCCUGCAUGGACGC